ACGAGUAUAGCUCAGUUGGUUAGAGCACAACACUGAUAAUGUUGAGGUCGAUGGUUCGAGCCCAUUUACUCGUACCA
rnacentral:tRNA from 1 species